rnacentral:rRNA from 1 species
UGGAGCCGACCUUGAAAUACCACCCUUUAAUGUUUGAUGUUCUAACGUUGACCCGUGAUCCGGGUUGCGGACAGUGUCUGGUGGGUAGUUUGACUGGGGCGGUCUCCUCCUAAAGAGUAACGGAGGAGCACGAAGGUUGGCUAAUCCUGGUCGGACAUCAGGAGGUUAGUGCAAUGGCAUAAGCCAGCUUGACUGCGAGCGUGACGGCGCGAGCAGGUGCGAAAGCAGGUCAUAGUGAUCCGGUGGUUCUGAAUGGAAGGGCCAUCGCUCAACGGAUAAAAGGUACUCCGGGGAUAACAGGCUGAUACCGCCCAAGAGUUCAUAUCGACGGCGGUGUUUGGCACCUCGAUGUCGGCUCAUCACAUCCUGGGGCUGAAGUAGGUCCCAAGGGUAUGGCUGUUCGCCAUUUAAAGUGGUACGCGAGCUGGGUUUAGAACGUCGUGAGACAGUUCGGUCCCUAUCUGCCGUGGGCGCUGGAGAACUGAGGGGGGCUGCUCCUAGUACGAGAGGACCGGAGUGGACGCAUCACUGGUGUUCGGGUUGUCAUGCCAAUGGCACUGCCCGGUAGCUAAAUGCGGAAGAGAUAAGUGCUGAAAGCAUCUAAGCACGAAACUUGCCCCGAGAUGAGUUCUCCCUGACUCCUUGAGAGUCCUGAAGGAACGUUGAAG